rnacentral:rRNA from 12 species
GAGUGCGAGUGCCUGAUGGCAUCUAGUCUCAUAAGCUAAACAGGGCUGUGCCUGGUUAGUACUGGGAUGGGAGACCAACUUGGAAGACCAGGGGCUGCUCUCA